rnacentral:rRNA from 1 species
AGCCAGGUGGUUGAGCCCAGGUCACAAUUAAUAGUUUGGGCCUCAACCGGACCCCUCCUCCAACAAGGGAAACGGGGGGGAGGGGGGGGGAAUUAUCUUUUGGGGAGACGCGCGAAAUGUUUAUUAUUUGGGUUUAGUUCCAGAUUGAGAUCGAACGCCGGGGGUCAGGACAAACACUUUGCAACUCAAGCCGAAGGAGGUCCCCCUUUCCUCUCGCUCCAGCGACGGACGGGUGAGUAAUGUCUAGCAAUCUACCUGAUACUGGGGGGAUAACACCCGAAAACGGGCGCUCAAUACGGCAUACCUCCGCAAGGCCAAAGCGGGGAACAUUCGGACCUCACGCCAUCAGAUGGGCCCAGAUGGGAUUAGCUAGUAGGUGGGGUAAAGGCUCACCCAGGCGACGAUCCGUAGCUGGUCUGAGAGGAUGAUCAGUCACACUGGAAGUGAGACACGGUCCAGACUCCUACGGGAGGCAGCAGUGGGGAAUAUUGCACAAUGGGCGAAAGCCUGAUCCAGCCAUGCCGCGUGCGUGAAGAACGUCUUCGGAUUGUAAAGCACCUUAAGUGAGGAGGAAGGGCAGUAAGUUAAUACCUUGAUCUUUUGACGUUACCAGCAGAAGAAGCACCGGCUAACUCCGUGCCAGCAGCCGCGGUAAUACGGAGGGUGCAAGCGUUAAUCGGAAUUACUGGGCGUAAAGCGCGCGCAGGUGGUUCAGCAAGUCGGUAUGUGACUUCCCCGGGCUCAACCUGGGAACUGCAUCCGAAACUAGCGAGCUAGAGUCUGGUAGAGGGGGCUAGAACUUCCGCUGUCGCGGUGUAUGCGUAGGAUAGUUUUUUCCCAGGACCCUGGCCUCCCCCUCGCGCAGCCUGC